rnacentral:rRNA from 1 species
UAGGGAAUCUUCCGCAAUGGACGAAAGUCUGACGGAGCAACGCCGCGUGAGCGAUGAAGGCCUUCGGGUCGUAAAGCUCUGUUGUCAGGGAAGAACAUGUAUCGGAGUAACUGCCGGUACCUUGACGGUACCUGACCAGAAAGCCACGGCUAACUACGUGCCAGCAGCCGCGGUAAUACGUAGGUGGCAAGCGUUGUCCGGAAUUAUUGGGCGUAAAGCGCGCGCAGGCGGUUCCUUAAGUCUGAUGUGAAA